GGAAAGUGUAGCUGUUGGUGCUCUGUUAUUUCAUGCGUGCCAGACAUUAUCUUUUAUGCUUCUUUUGCUGAGAAGCAGGUGACCGUACUCUAAUUUACGAGGGAACUUCUGUUUUGUCGGAGGUUUUGCAUUCAGUUUUGCUUCAUCAAUCUUUCAAAGAUGGGCUGAAAUCAAAAUCACACUGCUUUCCUGCUUAGAAUCGAAAAAAAAAGGUCCUUCUUAAAGAAAAAAUGUUAUGAAGACCCACUGAAGUUUGAGGCUGAACCGAUUCAAGAACAAUUAUGUGGACUUCCUGUCAUCAUAUUUCAAGAAGCGUGAUGUUAGGGGUAAAGCUAUGUAUUGAUACAGACCAUGCAAGUUCUUCGAAAAUUUACAUACUGAUGUAAAUCCCUCCCAAUUCUGUAUUCUCAAAAUGCAUUUGUCACGUUUCUUAACCGGCAGUCAUCGGUCGCCAGAGCGUUUCUUGAUUUUUUAUUUUCAUCAUUACUUCCUAUACCAACAAUGAUGAGAUAUUGCAUUUAAAUACUCUUGGUUUCCAAUUGAAGGCAUUUUCUGAUGGCAACUCUUGGUGACUAAGAGAAUUUUGCGAAUCAGUUUUCGGAGAAAUCAUCUCUUGUGAAUUUCCCACUAACGCACUGGCGUCUUAUACUGGCAUACUUCAGCAAUGGCAUCUCACUUAAAUGUCUGUGCUGAGGAAAACCAGCGUCAUUCGUGUAAACUGUGUUUAAAGGACUUUGCUAAAGAUUCAGAAUUAGAGGAGCA